GGGGAUGCCAUGGCUUCGACGGGGGAGGCUGGAUCCGGAUUGCGAGUCGAGAGGCGCCCGAUCUCGUAAAAUCAGCGCAAAAAAAUUAAGUGCCAACAAUCGCACUUCCUACGCUGCAAUGCCGUUAGCCGCUUAAGCGACCGGCGUUCAGCCUGACCUUUUCAGGUCACGUCCGCCCGAAUCGUAUCCUGACCGAUCGCGGAGCGGGCGCCAUAAUGUCAGGAUGCUGACCGCGAAUUCACGGCGUGGGACAAAAGAGGACUUUCGGGUCUGAGUGAAUCGCUUCCGUCGAGUGCGUUCCGUCUCUCGAUGAUAAGCUAAAAUGAAACGGGAAUACGCUCGUAGUAUAUUCGAGGUUCGAUUCUUUCGGACGCGGGUUCGACUCCCGCCAUCUCCAC
rnacentral:tmRNA from 1 species